rnacentral:rRNA from 1 species
UGGGGAAUUUUGGACAAUGGGCGCAAGCCUGAUCCAGCCAUGCCGCGUGCGGGAAGAAGGCCUUCGGGUUGUAAACCGCUUUUGUCAGGGAAGAAAUCUUCUGAGUUAAUACCUCGGGAGGAUGACGGUACCUGAAGAAUAAGCACCGGCUAACUACGUGCCAGCAGCCACGGUAAUACGUAGGGUGCAAGCGUUAAUCGGAAUUACUGGGCGUAAAGCGUGCGCAGGCGGUUUUGUAAGACAGAGGUGAAACCCCCGGGCUCAACCUGGGAACUGCCUUUGUGACUGCAAGGCUUGAGUGCGGCAGAGGGGGGAUGGAAUUCCGCGUGUAGCAGUGAAAUGCGUAGAUAUGCGGAGGAACACCGAUGGCGAAGGCAAUCCCCUGGGCCUGCACUGACGCUCAUGCACGAAAGCGUGGGGAGCAAACAGGAUUAGAUACCCUGGUAGUCCACGCCCUAAACGAUGUCAACUGGUUGUUGGGAAGGUUCCUUCUCAGUAACGUAGCUAACGCGUGAAGUUGACCGCCUGGGGAGUACGGCCGCAAGGUUGAAAACUCAAAUGAAUUGACGGGGUCAAGCUGUUUCCAU